GCCAGGAGCAUGUGAGUUCAUAUCUAUUAAUAAAUGUGGAGCCAGUGAAGAGAGAUUAGUUCAACUUGCCCGUCAUCCCUAGGCUAUGAGCCACAAAGAAGGACUGUGGCCCAGCUUAAGUCCAGUGCUAACCUGUGGAUGAAUGAACAACGACCGGGGAACAGGGCCUUAAGGUCCUGGCUAAUGCUGGGAAAACACCAAGCUGAAGACAUGUUUCCUGCCUUCCAGCAAAGAGAUAGAGUCCAAGCAAAUAAAUACAACAGAUGUGAACGUGGAAGCACAAAGGAAGGAGAAGCCAACAUUCCUGGGAGAGGUGACAUUUCUUCAGGGUUUCGAUACUUCUUCUAGUCCUCUGAAAUCUUUUUUUUUUUUUUUUUUUUUUUUUGAGACGGAGUCUGGCUCUGUCGUCCAGGCUGGAGUGCAGUGGCCGGAUCUCAGCUCACUGCAAGCUCCGCCUCCCGGAUUUACCCCAUUCUCCUGCCUCAGCCUCCCGAGUAGCUGGGACUACAGGUGCCCGCCACCUUGCCCGGCUAGUUUUUGUAUUUUUUAGUAGAGACGGGGUUUCACCGUGUUAGCCAGGAUGGUCUCGAUCUCCUGACCUUGUGAUUCGCCCGUCUCGGCCUCCCAAAGUGCUGGGAUUACAGGCUUGAGCCACCGCGCCCGGCCAGUCCUCUGAAAUCUUAAAUCUUCAUUCUUAGUAUUCUCAGUGGAGCAUUUUAUUCUGUCUCUACGGUUUGGGGCAAAAAGAAGAGACUCUUGACAAAGUACUUCUAGAAAGACUGGCAGAAAAGACUGAAAGAUUUUCUCAGGAGUAAGAAACAACACAACUUUCUUAAUACUCCUGUGCUGUUUUCACAUGCAAAAAAUAUUUUCCCCCUUCAUCGGUAGGGCAAUGGACAAAAUGGCUUUUCUUAUAGUAAAUAGCAUGUCCCAUGUAAAACGAGGCCAUGAUCUCCCUU
rnacentral:lncRNA from 10 species